UUAAAUUGCUGUUUUUUUUGAAUGUAACCUCACAAAUUAGCAGGCACUGCCCGCAACCUAGCAACCCAAGCGGAAUUCCGCCCGUCACCUAGCAACCCAAGUGGAAUUCCGCCCGUCACCUAGCAAC